AGCUGCUCUUGCACACGGUUUCGUGGGCUGGAUUUUCUCUGUUGCACACAUGCUUAGUAUCUGUCUCUCCCUUUGUUCCUGAGUGGUGGGCCGCACAUGAGGCUCUGAGCAGGCUAUAUCUCUAUUCUGGCAAUAAAAGUACUCUGGACACUGUUAAGGUGAGAAAAGAAAAGAAAUCGGGGCUCCCAGGAGGAGAAUCCUGAACCACGGGCUCUGCGGUGAUGUGGCCUUCCUCUUUAGUUUUUGUGCCUUUUAUGUGGGCAGAGGGAAAAAGAGACAGCCAGCAGUGAUCAUUAAUCCUGAAAAUGCCGAGGGCUUUGGCCUGGGACCCACACCAAGACAGAGUCAAACCGAGUUCUUCUAGUGUUGAGCGUGUUUCACAUCUUCCGUUGGAGUUUGCUGUGGAUGCUCAUUAGACAGACAUGGGCAGAAUCCCACUUGUUCCUCGUCCUUUUCCACCUCACCUCCAUCAUUGUGGCUGAAAUACACGAUCAUGGGUGUAUCUUUCCUUGUGGAUUUGUUGCCUCUAGGAGUUCUGUAUGCAGCUGAAGGGUAACAUCCCUUGGGAGCUUUUGCCUUGUCUGGCUGACGCCUUGGCAAUCGCAAGUGACAGUGACGGAGAGCCACCUCCUCUGGAAUGCAUCAUGGAACAGAAAGGGAAAAGCCAGGCAUUUGUAGUCCUCCUGCCACAGAUGACCAGAAUGACCUCACCCAGGACAAACGGCGACAGAUUUAGGAAUUCAAGCCAGCUUUUCUGACUCCCAGGCACCUGCUCUCUCCUUUCGAGUGUUCGACUCCACUCUCAGUCACUCGUCACUCUUCCCAGAAGGACAAAUGUGCAGCUUCUAUGUCUUGGAUUUCAAAUAAAAGACGAGGAACUUGGUGAAAUGA